rnacentral:rRNA from 1 species
AGUGAACGUUGGCGGCGUGGAUUAGGCAUGCAAGUCGAGCGAUAACCGUAGCAAUACGGGGACAGCGGCGAAAGGGACAGUAAUGUGUAGGUACCUACCCCGAGGUCUGGGAUAGCUGCGGGAAACUGCAGGUAAUACCGGAUAAUGUCUUCGGACCAAAGGUGUGAUUCCACCUUGGGAGGGGCCUGCAUCCUAUUAGCUUGUUGGCGGGGUAACGGCCCACCAAGGCGACGAUGGGUAGCGGGUGUGAGAGCACGACCCGCGUCAUUGGGGCUGAGAUACUGCCCAGACACCUACGGGUGGUUGCAGUCGAGGAUCUUCGGCAAUGGGCGAAAGCCUGACCGAGCGACGCCGCGUGCGGGAUGAAGGCCUUCGGGUUGUAAACCGCUGUCGUAGAGGAGGAAAUGCAGGGGGGUUCUCCCUUCUGUUUGACCUAUUCUAGGAGGAAGGACGGGCUAAGUUCGUGCCAGCAGCCGCGGUAA